rnacentral:lncRNA from 1 species
AUGGAGGGGGCGACCCCAGUGCCGUGCCCACCCUGGGAACCGCCGGCGCCGGCACGGGGGGCCGAGGAAGGGAGGGAGCGAGAGAUGAAGGGAUGCAGGGACAGAGGGAUGGAGGGACAGAUGGAUGCAGGGAUGCAGGGAUGGAGGGAAGGGGGCAUGGAGGGCAGGAGAGAGGAAGGGAUGGAGGGAGAGAGGGACAGAGGGAGAGUGGGAUGGAAGGACAGAGGGAUGCAGGGAUGCAGGAACAGAGGGAUGGAGGGAUGUGGCUCCCCCCCAGAUGGGCUGACACAGGCAGAACCCAGAGACCGCAGGGUUUAUGCAACCCAGGGGUUAUGCGCCCCGCGCUGGGACCCUGCACACCCUGCGCCGGCACCCGCCCUCGCAGCACGCUCCCUGGCCAGGCAGGGCACGAGGCGACCAGGCUGCCAGGGCCAGCGGGGCCACCCCUGCGGUCCUCUGCUGUGGUGGUGGCGAGCGCGGCCCCGUCACCCGGGCGAGCCAAGGGGCCGGGCCGGGCAGGGCUGGAGCUGCGCUGUCUGGGCGCCCCGGCCCCGCACUGGCUUUGUUCGCCGCAGAGGCCAUCGCUGCUUCCUGCUGCCACCAACAAAGCCGCGGCGCAGCUGGCCCCGCGGCACGGCCCCACGGCCCCACGCAGGCACGGGGGAGGGGAGCCGCUCCCAYGCUCCCGGCACACGCGUGUGCAUGGAUGUGCGUGCAUGUGCCUGCAUCCGUGCGCAUCUGYGUGUGUGUGUGUGCAUGUGCGUGCAUCCACGGGUUUGUGCACUUGUGUACGUGCGUGAAUCUGUGCACGUGUGCRUGCAUACAUUUGGGGGGGUGAUGCAUCUGUGUGCACGUGCAUGUGCACGCCUCUGCAUGCACAUCUGUGUGUGGGUAGUAAGCAAAAGGGCUGCAACUUUGCCUGGAGAUUUUUCGUUUGCUGCUGCACUCUUUCAUGCCGUUUGGGGGUGGAGAGGGGCUGGGGGGGGGGAUUCUGCUUUUGAAAAGGCUGAAAAGGCUGAAAAGGCCGAAAAGGCUGUGCCAGGCAGCCUGGGCUCCCUGCACGGGGCGUUUGUACAGCCCCCAGGGGCCAGGGGCCUUGUGAGCCCCCGCGACAUGUGGGAGCCCCUGCAGCGAGCACGGAGCCUGCUGGGACACAGCUGGACAUGGCACCCCAGCGCGAGGCCGGGCYGUGGGGGCGGUGGGGGGACGGGGACCCCGCGGUGCUGCCGCCUGAUGCUCGGCCCACGAGUCGCGGCUCCCCGGCGCCGGCCUCGGCUGCGAUCCAGGGAACUGUCACCUCCCGCUGCGGCGCCAUCAUUCUUGUCUAGCCAAGACRCUGGAUGA